rnacentral:rRNA from 1 species
UACGGAGGGGGCAAGCGUUGUCCGGAUUUAUUGGGCGUAAAGAGCGUGUAGGCGGCCGUACAGGUCAGCUGUGAAAACUCGAGGCUCAACCUCGAGACGUCGGUUGAAACCGUACGGCUAGAGUCCGGAAGAGGAGAGUGGAAUUCCCGGUGUAGCGGUGAAAUGCGCAGAUAUCGGGAAGAACACCCGUGGCGAAGGCGGCUCUCUGGGACGGUACUGACGCUGAGACGCGAAAGCGUGGGGAGCGAACAGG